GCAGUCGAACGAGAAUCUUUGAACAGAUCUUUUCGGAGUGACGUUUAAAGAGGAAAGUGGCGGACGGGCGAGUAACGCGUGAGUAACCUGCCCAUAAGAGGGGGAUAAUCCAUGGAAACGUGGACUAAUACCGCAUAUUGUAGUCAAGUCGCAUGACUAGAUUAUGAAAGAUUUAUCGCUUAUGGAUGGACUCGCGUCAGAUUAGAUAGUUGGUGAGGUAACGGCUCACCAAGUCAACGAUCUGUAGCCGAACUGAGAGGUUGAUCGGCCGCAUUGGGACUGAGACACGGCCCAGACUCCUACGGGAGGCAGCAGUGGGGAAUAUUGCGCAAUGGGGGCAACCCUGACGCAGCAACGCCGCGUGCAGGAAGAAGGUCUUCGGAUUGUAAACUGUUGUCGCAAGGGAAGAAGACAGUGACGGUACCUUGUGAGAAAGUCACGGCUAACUACGUGCCAGCAGCCGCGGUAAUACGUAGGUGACAAGCGUUGUCCGGAUUUACUGGGUGUAAAGGGCGCGUAGGCGGACUGUCAAGUCAGUCGUGAAAUACCGGGGCUUAACCCCGGGGCUGCGAUUGAAACUGACAGCCUUGAGUAUCGGAGAGGAAAGCGGAAUUCCUAGUGUAGCGGUGAAAUGCGUAGAUAUUAGGAGGAACACCAGUGGCGAAGGCGGCUUUCUGGACGACAACUGACGCUGAGGCGCGAAAGUGUGGGGAGCAAACAGGAUUAGAUACCCUGGUAGUCCACACCGUAAACGAUGGAUACUAGGUGUAGGAGGUAUCGACCCCUUCUGUGCCGCAGUUAACACAAUAAGUAUCCCACCUGGGGAGUACGACCGCAAGGUUGAAACUCAAAGGAAUUGACGGGGGGCCCGCACAAGCAGUGGAGUAUGUGGUUUAAUUCGAAGCAACGCGAA
rnacentral:rRNA from 1 species